AUCAUAAUACAUAACAGCGGCGCAGUAUCCUAGUCAGAGCUGCCGUCUUCUAAGAAGGGCCUAAAAAUCCUUUUAAGGGCACAUCGAUGAAGUCUCUGGUGCCUGCUUUAUACGCCCAGUAUAGGGUGGGUGCUGGAGGUUAAGGCUUCAGGGCGAUUUACAACGGCAUGUGAAGCCCGACCCUGUUGCCGUGGAGACCUGUUCUUGUGGCCGGCCAGACUUCCAAGAGAAUUUGUGAGACCGGGCACGAAUCAGGGUUAAACCUGCAAUGCGGUGCAAGUCAGCGCUGUGUGCAGAGUAGCCUGCCUUGAGUGGGUAUGGCGGAUGGAAGAGUUACGCACCUGCGGCCCCGGCCAGGGCAACGGGUGACAUUGCUUCCUGAAACCAUGCCUGCAAAAGAGGCUAAGAGACGGUUUGCCUGUUGUGGAAAACACCUAGGCUGUCUUUUUAAGGGCAGUGGAGGGAUUACAGUGCGGACUAAGUGGCAGUCGGGUCUUGCCGGUGGCAACACGGCAGUCCGGAGUUUAAUGGGAAACCGCCUGAUCGGCAACGAGAGGCACUCCGGGGGGAAAUCCAACCCAACCUAAGCCGUAAGAUUUACCUCCAUUGCCGCCACUGUUACUAUUAUGACG
rnacentral:sRNA from 1 species